UCCCCGUUACCGGGGCAGUCUGAUUAGAGAAAUACAACUAAUCAUAAGGGUUGCGCUCGUUAUUGGACUUAACCAAACAUCUCACGACACGAGCUGAAGACGGCCAUGCAACACCUGUCACUGGGUUCCGGCUCUCAAUACACAAUAUUCCUAUUAUGUACUCAGAGCCGGCACUUACUCCUUUCGGAGUAAUUCCCAGGAUGUCAAACCUUGGUAAGGUUCUUCGCUUACCAUCGAAUUAAACAACACGCUCCACCGCUUGUGCGGGUCCCCGUCAAUUCCUUUGAGUUUUAGUCUUGCGACCGUACUACCCAGGCGGGAUGCUUAACGCGUUAGCUUCGCUACUGAACGGGUCGAUACGUCCAACAGCUAGCAUCCAUAGUUUACGGCGUGGACUAC
rnacentral:misc_RNA from 1 species